rnacentral:rRNA from 1 species
CAGCAGCCGCGGGAAAACGUAGGUGGCAAGCGUUGUCCGGAAUUAUUGGGCGUAAAGGGCUCGCAGGCGGUUUCUUAAGUCUGAUGUGAAAGCCCCCGGCUCAACCGGGGAGGGUCAUUGGAAACUGGGAAACUUGAGUGCAGAAGAGGAGAGUGGAAUUCCACGUGUAGCGGUGAAAUGCGUAGAGAUGUGGAGGAACACCAGUGGCGAAGGCGACUCUCUGGUCUGUAACUGACGCUGAGGAGCGAAAGCGUGGGGAGCGAACAGGAUUAGAUACCCCUGUAGUCCCUGUCUCUUAUAA